rnacentral:rRNA from 1 species
GACGAACGCUGGCGGCGUGCUUAACACAUGCAAGUCGAACGGAAAGGCCCUGCUUUUGUGGGGUGCUCGAGUGGCGAACGGGUGAGUAACACGUGAGUAACCUGCCCUUGACUUUGGGAUAACUUCAGGAAACUGGGGCUAAUACCGGAUAGGAGCUCCUGCUGCAUGGUGGGGGUUGGAAAGUUUCGGCGGUUGGGGAUGGACUCGCGGCUUAUCAGCUUGUUGGUGGGGUAGUGGCUUACCAAGGCUUUGACGGGUAGCCGGCCUGAGAGGGUGACCGGCCACAUUGGGACUGAGAUACGGCCCAGACUCCUACGGGAGGCAGCAGUGGGGGAUAUUGCACAAUGGGCGGAAGCCUGAUGCAGCAACGCCGCGUGCGGGAUGACGGCCUUCGGGUCGUAAACCGCUUUCGCCUGUGACGAAGCGUGAGUGACGGUAAUGGGUAAAGAAGCACCGGCUAACUACGUG